rnacentral:lncRNA from 1 species
UGCAUGGCUUUGGCUGCCCUGGGUAUAGGCAUCACUGCUGCAGUAGGUGGCCACAGGAGUACCUCCAAAUGGAGAAACUUUCAGGCACACACUGACUGUGCUUUCUGCUGUAGGAAAGCUACUGGAGGCCUGCUUGGGAGGGAAAGAAGCUCUUUGAUGAUGGCUCCCAUGGCAACAAGAUAAGGCCUUACAGAGCUGAGCAGUCCCAACUCCCUCGGUGUUUCCUCACAGGAGAGACACUCCAGUCCCUUCAUCAUUUCUGUGGCCCUUAACUCAACUCUCUCCAGUGUGUUCAAAUCCGUCUUGUACUGUGGAUCCCAG